rnacentral:misc_RNA from 1 species
CUGCCAAACCCUUUCAUAAAUUAUGAUGUUUUUUCCUACCGUAAUUUCAACACAAUAAUGUUAAAGAAAUCAAAUGACAACUUCGACAUCCAUGAAACGGAUUUAGCUUCAACUUUUCUGGAAUUUUUUGAGGUGCGCAUUCGCAACAUUUUCUUAUGCUAUUUUGUAUGCCCAAACCAUUCAGCCAUAUCUUCAUCAUCAGUUGUUUCAAGGAACUUAAAUCUUCUUUGGGUAUCAGCACGCCUAGAUUCUUCAUCACUUUCUCCAGUUCUACCAGUAGUUCUACUUUUCUGUAACAUCUCUAGCUUCCAUCUCUCUCCAUUUUGUGAAUUUCGAGACAAACUACUAUGACCUCCCACAAUUGGGAAAUCUACAAAACUGGAGUCUUUAUUCCAUAAGUGAUUGUCUUCUCUUUCUUCCUCCACAAAUCUCCACCUAUCUACGCCUCUUCUUUGUUUCAUUCUAUCCAGUUGCAUGGAUUUAUCAUCAUCGCCCUUGUGAUCGCCAUGAACAAAUCUCAAUCUCCUAUGGUUGGGUAAGCCUCCACUGUCAUGUUCAAGUGGAGUGGAUGUGUUGCUUGGAGCAUUUAAUGCCUUUGGCCGUCUAUGGUCACAUUUCAGGCACACCAUGUUUCUUCUGAAAUUGAUGUAGUUGCACGACUCACACUCCCACUCCCCAGGAUUAAGAUGCCGCUUUGGAGGUUUCUCUUUACACUGUAGACAUCUUGUAUUCUUUGCAAAGUUCAAGAAAUUGCAUCUAUGAAGAUAAGAAAUGUUGUUAAGAAAUAAAGCAUCAGGUAUUAUAUUGUUGAAAAAGAUCAGAAAAUUAUUACUUUUCACAGAUCCAGUCUCCUUUUUUCAGUGGAAGAUGAUGCUGAUCCUCCUGGAGUUGUUUUAGUCUAUCUUCAAACAAACUAUCACACUGCAAGCACCUAAUAUUUCUGGCAAAAUUGAGGAAGUUGCACCUAACAGCCAGAAAGAAAAAGGUUAACCCUCUCUAGACAAAUAAAAUGAAACAGAUAGCAACAUAUUUUACAAUGCCACAAAAUAGCAGUCAAAUUACUUGGGGCAACACCAAUCGCCUUGCUUCGUUGGAGAGUGAAUUUGCAAAGGUUCACUGCUUUUCAAGGGAGUGCCAUCUGGGGGAUCAGAGUCCAGUUGCUGUCUGCCAUAGUCCACCAUUUCUUUCAGCAGCACUCUCACUGAAUCUUUAACCAUUUUGUUGUCAAAUGGCCUGUUCUCCAAAUUACCAGAAAGGGAAUUAAACCCAUACGUCAAUAGAAUUCGCAUGACAUCUACUGUCCGCCCACCUUCAUAUUCACGUGCCUUGACAUAUGCCCUUUCACAGUCUCCCCUGAACUUGCAGGAGCUGCAAACCUAAGAAGACCUUUACUCAACUUAGAUAUAAAGAACAAUUACUAGUAUAAUGCUUACUAAUAUGCAAAACGUCUUUAACCUUCCAGGCAAGACGAAUUUAUAUAUAAAAUGUUGAAAAAGAAAAUUUUCUUUUAACGUUGAGCACAUACAUUUCCUUCAUCAAUGCCUACAUGUGCUCUUAGACGCUUCCCUGAAUUGACAACUUUCCUAUCUAUACUUGGGCAGCCGCAUCGUGCAAUGGCAUGGAUAUCUUUCCUGGAGAAGAACCUGGCAGCAAAGGCAGAUGGCAAGUACAUAAAGUUUAGGGGAAAAAAACUAAAUUUAGUAACUUGAAGUAAAAAUAUCUGAUACUGCAAACUGCUGAUACAAUCUCCAACUCUCCAUUACAAAAUUGAAAGGUAAAAUUGUCUAAAAGCAGUCAUAGGAUCAAGAGACUAUAAAAACAGUAUAAACUUAAAAAUUUCUGCAGUAAGUAGAUACACUAAAGACUCAAUCCUUUGGACUCUGCAUUUGGUAGCCCAAGACUCUCACAAUAUGACCGCACAAGGUAACAAUCUCUUGUACCUUAUUAUGGUUGACCAAAUAGCCCCAUUAAGAACCUAAUUAAGGCCAAAAUAAUGACUGUAACCAAGAAACAAUAAACCUAUAAAAAACACUCACUCCCCGCAUACAAGCUGGACUAACAACAAAAUAACAAACAACAUCGAAGUCAACAUAACUAAAAAAAAAAAAGAACCUUGCCAACAAUGUAUCCCCCACAAAUAGCUCUAAAUGCAUCAAUGAACUGAAACAAAAUAUUAAGAGCCCACCGAUUCCAAGUUGUAUAAGAUGCAUAAGCACUUUCUUAAAUCUCAUAGCCCCCUGAAUACCCGAAGAUUGUUGAGCUUUGCUUUGUGUUGGUUUUUAUCGCGUUGACAAAAUGCAUUUUCUUUCCCCAUAAGUUGGCCCCUCCACUCCAAGCCUCCCAAGAGAUUAAUCCUAGAUCUGUCCAUGGCUUAGAAAAUUCCAAUGCAACUGAAAUCUCCCAAAAGCCCCUGAUUCCAAGGCAAUGCUUUGUCCAAGAGGCACUUGCAGAGGGACCUGGCAUUCUCAACUCAAGUGAACCAAAACCUUUAAAUGCUCUUCAAGGUUCUGAUAUCUCCCAGUCACGGCAUGGUCAAGGCUGCUAACCAUUGAGCUUGACUACUGGGACCUGAAGG